rnacentral:lncRNA from 1 species
AAAACCUUAAACAACGUUUUUGUUUGCCUCUCAUUUCAGAGGUACUCUAUUUAGAAUUUUCCGCGUAUUCAAAGUUGGAAGCUUUCAAGAAGAAGCAAUGUCUCGGCUGUGUAGUACGGUUGCGUGUGGAGUACGAAAGCUGCUGCAAAUCCAGAGACAGUGAUGGAGCCGGCGACCCAAAUCUUAAAAGAUGUGGAUUCUCACAUUAGCCCAGGAAAUUAAAUGAUUAAGGCAUCAAAGAUGCUUUUGGAUAGAAAUCUUACCAGUGUGGACUUUGGAACUCGCCUAAUCUUCUUUUUGGUUUAUCAUUGAAUAUUGUAUGUUGG